rnacentral:rRNA from 1 species
GACGUAGGUGGCGAGCGUUGUCCGGAAUUACUGGGCGUAAAGGGCGUGUAGGCGGCCUUUCAAGUCAGGCGUGAAAUUCCUGGGCUCAACCCAGGGACUGCGUUUGAGACUGAGGGGCUUGAGGACAGGAGAGGGAAGCGGAACUCCGUGUGUAGCGGUGAAAUGCGUAGAUAUACGGAAGAACACCAGUGGCGAAGGCGGCUUCCUGGACUGUCCCUGACGCUGAGGCGCGAAAGCCAGGGGAGCGAAC